GUUUUGUAUGAAAGGAGAGAAGGUUAGCACUCCCCUUGAUAAGGAUGGAAGAGGCUUGUGCCUGACAACACGCAUAUGUUUAAGGCAUUGCCACCUACUUGGUGACAUCUAACCACUGUUUUGU
rnacentral:ncRNA from 1 species